ACGGGUGCGUAACGCGUGGGAAUCUGCCCUUAGGUUCGGAAUAACAGCUGGAAACGGCUGCUAAUACCGGAUGAUAUCGCGAGAUCAAAGAUUUAUCGCCUGAGGAUGAGCCCGCGUUGGAUUAGGUAGUUGGUGGGGUAAAGGCCUACCAAGCCGACGAUCCAUAGCUGGUCUGAGAGGAUGAUCAGCCACACUGGGACUGAGACACGGCCCAGACUCCUACGGGAGGCAGCAGUGGGGAAUAUUGGACAAUGGGCGCAAGCCUGAUCCAGCAAUGCCGCGUGAAUGAUGAAGGCCCUAGGGUUGUAAAGCUCUUUUACCCGGGAAGAUAAUGACUGUACCGGGAGAAAAAGCCCCGGCUAACUCCGUGCCAGCAGCCGCGGUAAUACGGAGGGGGCUAGCGUUGUUCGGAAUUACUGGGCGUAAAGCGCACGUAGGCGGCUUUGUAAGUCAGAGGUGAAAGCCUGGAGCUCAACUCCAGAACUGCCUUUGAGACUGCAUCGCUUGAAUCCAGGAGAGGUCAGUGGAAUUCCGAGUGUAGAGGUGAAAUUCGUAGA
rnacentral:rRNA from 1 species